rnacentral:rRNA from 1 species
CCUACGGGAGGCAGCAGUGGGGAAUAUUGCACAAUGGGGGGAACCCUGAUGCAGCGACGCCGCGUGAGUGAAGAAGUAUUUCGGUAUGUAAAGCUCUAUCAGCAGGGAAGAAAAUGACGGUACCUGACUAAGAAGCCCCGGCUAACUACGUGCCAGCAGCCGCGGUAAUACGUAGGGGGCAAGCGUUAUCCGGAUUUACUGGGUGUAAAGGGAGCGUAGACGGCAGAGCAAGUCUGAAGUGAAAGCCCGCGGCCCAACUGCGGGACUGCUUUGGAAACUGCCCGGCUAGAGUGCUGGAGAGGUAA